rnacentral:pre_miRNA from 14 species
AGUACAAUUGCUAGGUCACAUGUUAACUGUUUAACUUUAUAAGAAAUUGUCAAACUCUUUUUCAAAGUGACUGCACCAAUUUGCAUCCCUAUCAGCAAU